rnacentral:rRNA from 1 species
UACGGGGGGAGCAAGCGUUGUCCGGAUUUACUGGGCGUAAAGGGCGCGUAGGCGGUCGUGACAAGUCACUUGUGAAAUCUCCGGGCUUAACUCGGAACGGUCAAGUGAUACUGUCGGACUAGAGUGCAGAAGGGGCAACUGGAAUUCUCGGUGUAGCGGUGAAAUGCGUAGAUAUCGAGAGGAACACCUGCGGCGAAGGCGGGUUGCUGGGCUGACACUGACGCUGAGGCGCGAAAGCCAGGGGAGCGAACGGG